rnacentral:rRNA from 1 species
GCACUCCUACGGGACGCAGCAGUGAGGAAUAUUGGUCAAUGGGCGCGAGCCUGAACCAGCCAAGUCGCGUGAGGGAUGACGGUCCUACGGAUUGUAAACCUCUUUUGCCGGGGAGCAAGCGUGCGUUCGUGAACGCGCGUCGAGAGUACCCGGAGAAAAAGCAUCGGCUAACUCCGUGCCAGCAGCCGCGGUAAUACGGAGGAUGCGAGCGUUAUCCGGAUUUAUUGGGUUUAAAGGGUGCGUAGGCGGGAUGCCAAGUCAGGGGUAAAAAUGCGGGG